AUUGGUUUUAUCAGCUGUUUACGUUUCAGAAAUAUAUGCUAGGUAUCGGGCGCCUAGCUAGGCACAAAGAGCAGACCAGCAAAGUCUGGUAGAAGCUCUACCCUCCCCUUAACACACAGCUGUAUUCCACAGCUUGUGUAGAUUCUACAAACCAGAUAAAAACUAGCUUCAGGACGGCCGGGGAAAGCGAGAGAGUGAGCAUGGCGAGUGCCCCUGCCACCUCCAGGUCUGAGUUUGUUGUUGGAGGAAAGUACAGGUUGGUCAGGAAGAUAGGAAGCGGAAGCUUUGGAGAUAUUUAUCUAGGUAUAAACAUCACCAACGGGGAGGAGGUUGCCGUUAAGCUUGAGAGUGUGAAGGCUCGU